rnacentral:tRNA from 1 species
GGCGGCGUAGCUCAGCUGGCUAGAGCAUUCGGUUCAUACCCGACAGGUCAUUGGUUCAAAUCCGAUCGCCGCUACCA